GACGAACGCUGGCGGCGUGCUUAACACAUGCAAGUCGAACGGAAAGGCCCUGCUUGCCGGGUACUCGAGUGGCGAACGGGUGAGUAACACGUGGGUGAUCUGCCCUGCACUUCGGGAUAAGCUUGGGAAACUGGGUCUAAUACCGGAUAGGAGCCAUCUUUAGUGUGGUGGUUGGAAAGUUUUUUCGGUGUAGGAUGAGCUCGCGGCCUAUCAGCUUGUUGGUGGGGUAAUGGCCUACCAAGGCGGCGACGGGUAGCCGGCCUGAGAGGGUGUACGGCCACAUGGGGACUGAGAUACGGCCCAGACUCCUACGGGAGGCAGCAGUGGGGAAUAUUGCACAAUGGGCGCAAGCCUGAUGCAGCGACGCCGCGUGGGGGAUGAAGGCCUUCGGGUUGUAAACUCCUUUCGCUAGGGACGAAGCUUUUUUGUGACGGUACCUAGAUAAGAAGCACCGGCUAACUACGUG
rnacentral:rRNA from 1 species